GCAGGCCUAACACAUGCAAGUCGAACGGCAGCGCGAGAGAGCUUGCUCUCUUGGCGGCGAGUGGCGGACGGGUGAGGAAUACGUCGGAAUCNUGCCUAUUUGUGGGGGAUAACGUAGGGAAACUUACGCUAAUACCGCAUACGUCCUACGGGAGAAAGCAGGGGACCUUCGGGCCUUGCGCAGAUAGAUGAGCCGACGUCGGAUUAGCUAGUUGGGGGGGUAAUGGCCCACCAAGGCGACGAUCCGUAGCUGGUCUGAGAGGAUGAUCAGCCACACUGGAACUGAGACACGGUCCAGCACUCCUACGGGGGAGGCAGCAGUGGGGUAUAUUGGACAUGGGCGCAAGCCUGAUCCAGCCAUGCCGCGUGGGUGAAGAAGGCCUUCGGGUUGUAAAGCCCUUUUGUUGGGAAAGAAAAGCAUUCGGUUAAUACCCGGGUGUCAUGACGGUACCCAAAGAAUAAGCACCGGCUAACUUCGUGCCAGCAGCCGCGGUAAUACGAAGGGUGCAAGCGUUACUCGGAAUUACUGGGCGUAAAGCGUGCGUAGGUGGUGUGUUAAGUCAGAUGUGAAAGCCCUGGGCUCAACCUGGGAACUGCAUUUGAUACUGGCAGGCUAGAGUGCGGUAGAGGAUAGCGGAAUUCCUGGUGUAGCAGUGAAAUGCGUAGAGAUCAGGAGGAACAUCCGUGGCGAAGGCGGCUAUCUGGGCCAGCACUGACACUGAGGCACGAAAGCGUGGGGAGCAAACAGGAUUAAGAUACCCUGGUAGUCCACGCCCUAAACGAUGCGAACUGGAUGUUGGGCUCAACUUGGAGUUCAGUAUCGAAGCUANCGCGUUAAGUNCGCCGCCUGGGGAGUACGUCGCAAGACUGAAACUCA
rnacentral:rRNA from 1 species